GACGAACGCUGGCGGCGUGCCUAACACAUGCAAGUCGAGCGAACGGACCAGAAGUUUGCUUUUCUGAUGUUAGCGGCGGACGGGUGAGUAACAUGUGGACAACAUACCUAUAAGACUGGGAUAAUUUUGGGAAACCGGAGCUUAUACCGGAUAAUAUUUUGCACCUCAAGGUUCACAAGUGAAAGUCGGUCUUUCGGUCACUUAUAGAUGGAUACGCGCUUCAUUAGCUAGUUGGUAAGGUAAAGGCUUACCCAGGCAACGAUGCAUAGCCGACCUGAAAGGGUGGUUGGCCACACUGGAAGUGAGACACGGCCCAGACUCCUACGGGGGGCAGCAGUAGGGAAUCUUACGCAAUGGGGGAAAGCCUGACGGAGCAACGCGGCGUGAGUGAUGAAGGUCUUCGGAUCGGAAAACUCUGUUAUUAGGGAAGAACAUAUGUGUAAGUAACUGUGCACAUCUUGACGGUACCUAGUGAGAAAGCCACGGCUAACUACGUG
rnacentral:rRNA from 1 species